AUAGUAGGUCAUGGAUGAAUCGUCAAAACUCAUCAUCGGUCAUAUGAUAGAUUCAAUCAGCUCGAGUCCAUGAAUGAUUCUUAUGAAAAUUCUUUUUCAUUAAUCCUACUGCUAUGGCUAUAGACUUAAAAGACUCAGUUUUAUAAAUCUCAUAGGACUACUCCCUUCUACUAGGGUUGAUAGAUCUCAUCUAGGUAUGCACCCUACUCCUACAGUGGACCAACUGUCCAACUUCACUACAAAGGCUUAUUGAGAUCCAUGUUUAUCUAUCAGUCAAACUCCAACAGUCUCAUUAUGAGCAGCUAUAGCACCGCAGGUCAAAGGACCAGUCAUACAAUUGC
rnacentral:lncRNA from 1 species